GAGCUGGUUUCUAGUAGUAUCAAUGAAAGCAACAGCGGCGCAACUGCCUCCUGCUGUGCUUGAAUUUCCCUAUCAAUCGCUAGAGCGGCCAUUAGCUUGUAGGUGUAGUAAUUUCUUCGUUAGUGUUGGCGAAGGUAUUCAUUUCUUUCCCUUACAUCAAGUGCUGAGAAAAAAGAAAACUAAAAAAGUGCCACCCAACAUGCAUCAAUA
rnacentral:misc_RNA from 1 species